AGCAGCCGCGGUAAUUCCAGCUCCAAUAGCGUAUAUUAAAGUUGUUGCAGUUAAAAAGCUCGUAGUUGAAUUUCGGGAUUGACACAUCGGUCGUGCCUUAAGGGGUAUGAACUGGUGUAGUCAAUUUCUCACCUUCUGGAGAACCGCGAUGCCCUUAAUUGGGUGUCACGGGGGAACCAGGACCUUUACUUUGAAAAAAUUUAGAGUGUUUAAAGCAGGCAUUUUGCUUGAAUACAUUAGCAUGGAAUAAUAAAAUAGGACGGCAUGAUUCUAUUUUGUUGGUUUCUAGGAUCACCGUAAUGAUUAAUAGGGAUAGUUGGGGGGCAUUAGUAUUCAAUUGUCAGAGUGAAAUUCUUGGAUUUAUUGAAGACUAACUACUGCGAAAGCAUUUGCCAAGGAUGUUUUCAUAAUCAAGAGCGAAAGUUAGGGGAUCGAAGACGAUCAGAUACCGUCGUAGUCUUAACCAUAAACUAUGCCGACUAGGAAUCAGACGAUGUUAAUUUUUUAAUGACUCGUUUGG
rnacentral:rRNA from 1 species